rnacentral:rRNA from 1 species
AUGAACGCUAGCUACAGGCUUAACACAUGCAAGUCGAGGGGCAGCAUGGUCUUAGCUUGCUAAGGCUGAUGGCGACCGGCGCACGGGUGAGUAACACGUAUCCAACCUGCCGUCUACUCUUGGCCAGCCUUCUGAAAGGAAGAUUAAUCCAGGAUGGGAUCAUGAGUUCACAUGUCCGCAUGAUUAAAGGUAUUUUCCGGUAGACGAUGGGGAUGCGUUCCAUUAGAUAGUAGGCGGGGUAACGGCCCACCUAGUCAACGAUGGAUAGGGGUUCUGAGAGGAAGGUCCCCCACAUUGGAACUGAGACACGGUCCAAACUCCUACGGGAGGCAGCAGUGAGGAAUAUUGGUCAAUGGGCGAUGGCCUGAACCAGCCAAGUAGCGUGAAGGAUGACUGCCCUAUGGGUUGUAAACUUCUUUUAUAAAGGAAUAAAGUCGGGUAUGCAUACCCGUUUGCAUGUACUUUAUGAAUAAGGAUCGGCUAACUCCGUGCCAGCAGCCGCGGUAAUACGGAGGAUCCGAGCGUUAUCCGGAUUUAUUGGGUUUAAAGGGAGCGUAGAUGGAUGUUUAAGUCAGUUGUGAAAGUUUGCGGCUCAACCGUAAAAUUGCAGUUGAUACUGGAUGUCUUGAGUGCAGUUGAGGCAGGCGGAAUUCGUGGUGUAGCGGUGAAAUGCUUAGAUAUCACGAAGAACUCCGAUUGCGAAGGCAGCUUGCUGGACUGUAACUGACGCUGAUGCUCGAAAGUGUGGGUAUCAAACAGGAUUAGAUACCCUGGUAGUCCACACGGUAAACGAUGAAUACUCGCUGUUUGCGAUAUACGGCAAGCGGCCAAGCGAGAGCGUUAAGUAUUCCACCUGGGGAGUACGCCGGCAACGGUGAAACUCAAAGGAAUUGACGGGGGCCCGCACAAGCGGUGGAGCAUGUGGUUUAAUUCGAAGCAACGCGAAGAACCUUACCUGGGCUUGACAUGUAAUGAACAACAUGUGAAAGCAUGCGACUCUUCGGAGGCGUUACACAGGUGCUGCAUUGCCGUCGUCAGCUCGUGUCGUGAGAUGUUUGGUUAAGUCCAGCAACGAGCGCAACCCCUGUUGCCAGUUACCAGCACGUGAAGGUGGGGACUCUGGCGAGACUGCCCAGAUCAACUGGGAGGAAGGUGGGGACGACGUCAGGUCAGUAUGGCCCUUAUGCCCAGGGCUACACACGUACUACAAUGGCGUCUACAAAGAGCGGCAAGCCUGUGAAGGCAAGCGAAUCUCAUAAAGGACGUCUCAGUUCGGAUUGAAGUCUGCAACCCGACUUCAUGAAGCUGGAAUCGCUAGUAAUCGCGAAUCAGCAUGUCGCGGUGAAUACGUUCUCGGGCCUUGUACACACCGCCCGUCAAACCAUGGGAGUUGGUAAUGCCCGAAGCCGGUGGCAUAACCCUUCGGGGAGUGAGCCGUCGAAGGCAGGACCGAUGACUGGGGUU